CAAGCAACCAUACUUGCAUUUAAGUUCAACCCUGCAUAUUCAUAACUCCGUACGCUAACACAAAAAAAGCAUCCAAACUCAAUCCUCUCACCUCCACCUCACGUUCCUUCCCCGGUUGCCACCAUCACCAACCCUUUCUCUCGACUCCUGAAAUCAAAUUCCAUUAUGCAACUCCAUUUUCAUCAUCAUCAUCCAUGGCCCGUAUCUAAUCUCUCUACCUUCUCCCAUUCCCUCCCCAUACAUCUAAUUCCCUCUUCUUAAGACAUGACUCUUCCUUAUGGUUUACCAGCAAAUAGACAAGAGACACCCUAGUCCUGCUAUUUGUUUUGUGUUAUGUGCACAGCUAUGCAGUGACAUGGAACAAGGAGAGGGAUAAGAACAGGCGUAUGAAUGAAUCAACUACGAAUCAGCUUAACUCAAGUGAAGACUUUCUUGGAAAACUCUUGGUUUAGGACGACCACCAGUGGGUAGAAGAACCUGAUCUUUUGGCUAUCUUGACACUCUGGUUUGGUUUGGUUGGAGCAGCACUUUUGUUACAAAGAUAGUGAAAGAGAUUAUGGUUUCGUUAUGUUACUGAAAAAAAUAUUGGAGUAUGAGAUUUGGAAGAUCAAGAAGCUGCAUCUAACGAUAUCUGAGAAGAAGAUGUCCAAAAGAUUGCGUUUUCUCACCUUAUUUCCCUCCAAACAAUCCUGAAAAAUUUGCAUGUGUCCACAGAAUCUAUGGUGCUGGAAAUGUUUCCAAAAUGCUUCAGCAACUUCCUGUUCAGACAAGAGCUGAAGCAGUGGAAUCUUUAUGCUUUGAAGCAACAUGUAGAAUUGAAGAUCCUGUUUAUGGAUGUGUUGGGAUGAUUUCUUUACUCCAGACUCAAAU